CCUGCCUCAUACAGGGGGAUAACAGUCGGAAACGGCUGCUAAAACCGCAUAAGCAUACAGUAUCGCAUGGUACAGUGUGAAAAUAUUUAUAGGUAUGAGAUGGGCCCGCGUCUGAUUAGCUAGUUGGUGAGAUAAAAGCUUACCAAGGCGACGAUCAGUAGCCGGCUUGAGAGAGUGACCGGCCACAUUGGGACUGAGACACGGCCCAAACUCCUACGGGAGGCAGCAGUGGGGAAUAUUGCACAAUGGGGGAAACCCUGAUGCAGCGACGCCGCGUGAGUGAUGACGGCCCUAUGGGUUGUAAAGCUCUGUUAUAAGGGACGAACAGCUUUGCUAGGAAAUGAGCAGAGUCUGACGGUACUUUAUCAGAAAGCCACGGUUAACUACGUGCCAGCAGCCGCGGUAAUACGUAUGGUGCAAGCGUUAUCCGGAUUUACUGGGUGUAAAGGGAGCGCAGACGGCAUGGCAAGCCAGAUGUGAAAGGUGGGGGCUCAACCCCCAAGCUGCAUUUGGAAACUGUCAAGCUAAAGUAUCGGAGAGGUAAGUGGAAUUCCUAGUGUAGCGGUGAAAUGCGUAGAUAUUAGGAGGAACACCAGUGGCGAAGGCGGCUUACUGGACGAUAACUGACGUUGAGGCUCGAAAGCGUGGGGAGGCAACAGGAUUAGAAUUACCUGGGUAAUCCACGCCCGUAACGAUGAAUACUA
rnacentral:rRNA from 1 species